GAAUUCGAUUAACGCGAAGAACCUUACCUCGGCUUGACAUGCACGUGGUACCAACCUGAAAGGGAAGGGACCUGCGAGGGAGCGUGCACAGAUGCUGCAUGGCUGUCGUCAGCUCGUGCCGUGAGGUGUUGGGUUAAGUCCCGCAACGAGCGCAACCCUUGUCCUUAGUUGCCUUCUCUAAGGAGACCGCCGGUCUAAACCGGAGGAAGGUGGGGAUGAAGUCAAGUCAGCACGGCUCUUACGUCGAGGGCUACACACACGCUACAAUGGCCGGUACAACGGGCUGCCAAGGGGCGACCUGGAGCUAAUCCCACCAAAGCCGGUCUCAGUUCGGAUUGCAGGCUGCAACUCGCCUGCAUGAAGUCGGAGUUGCUAGUAACUGCUGGUCAGCACACAGCAGUGAAUACGUUCCCGGGCCUUGUCACACCGAAUCACUA
rnacentral:rRNA from 1 species